GUUGUGAGGUUAAGUGACUAAGCGUACACGGUGGAUGCCUAGGCAGUCAGAGGCGAUGAAGGGCGUGCUAAUCUGCGAAAAGCGUCGGUAAGGUGAUAUGAACCGUUACAACCGGCGAUACCCGAAUGGGGAAACCCAGUGUGUUUCGACACACUAUCAUGUCAUGAAUACAUAGUGGCAUGAGGCGAACCGGGGGAACUGAAACAUCUAAGUACCCCGAGGAAAAGAAAUCAACCGAGAUUCCCCCAGUAGCGGCGAGCGAACGGGGAGGAGCCCAGAACCUGAAUCGGCUUGUGUGUUAGUGGAAGCGUCUGGAAAGUCGCGCAGCAAAGGGUGAUAGCCCCGUACACUAAAAUGCACAGGUCGUGAGUUCGAUGAGUAGGGCGGGACACGUGACAUCCUGUCUGAAUAUGGGGGGACCAUCCUCCAAGGCUAAAUACUCCUGACUGACCGAUAGUGAACCAGUACCGUGAGGGAAAGGCGAAAAGAACCCCGGCGAGGGGAGUGAAAUAGAACCUGAAACCGUGUACGUACAAGCAGUGGGAGCACCUUCGUGGUGUGACUGCGUACCUUUUGUAUAAUGGGUCAGCGACUUAUAUUUUGUAGCAAGGUUAACCGUAUAGGGGAGCCGUAGGGAAACCGAGUCUUAACUGGGCGAAUAGUUGCAAGGUAUAGACCCGAAACCCGGUGAUCUAGCCAUGGGCAGGUUGAAGGUUGGGUAACACUAACUGGAGGACCGAACCGACUAAUGUUGAAAAAUUAGCGGAUGACUUGUGGCUGGGGGUGAAAGGCCAAUCAAACCGGGAGAUAGCUGGUUCUCCCCGAAAGCUAUUUAGGUAGCGCCUCGUGAACUCAUCUUCGGGGGUAGAGCACUGUUUCGGCUAGGGGGCCAUCCCGGCUUACCAAACCGAUGCAAACUCCGAAUACCGAAGAAUGUUAUCACGGGAGACACACGGCGGGUGCUAACGUCCGUCGUGAAGAGGGAAACAACCCAGACCGCCAGCUAAGGUCCCAAAGUCAUGGUUAAGUGGGAAACGAUGUGGGAAGGCAUAGACAGCCAGGAUGUUGGCUUAGAAGCAGCCAUCAUUUAAAGAAAGCGUAAUAGCUCACUGGUCGAGUCGGCCUGCGCGGAAGAUGUAACGGGGCUAAACCAUGCACCGAAGCUGCGGCAGCGACGCUUAGGCGUUGUUGGGUAGGGGAGCGUUCUGUAAGCCGUUGAAGGUGGCCUGUGAGGGUUGCUGGAGGUAUCAGAAGUGCGAAUGCUGACAUAAGUAACGAUAAAGCGGGUGAAAAGCCCGCUCGCCGGAAGACCAAGGGUUCCUGUCCAACGUUAAUCGGGGCAGGGUGAGUCGACCCCUAAGGCGAGGCUGAAAAGCGUAGUCGAUGGGAAACAGGUUAAUAUUCCUGUACUUGGUGUUACUGCGAAGGGGGGACGGAGAAGGCUAGGCUAGCCGGGCGACGGUUGUCCCGGUUUAAGCGUGUAGGGGG
rnacentral:rRNA from 1 species